CUGCGAGUUCGCGGGAGAGUAGGUUAUUGCCAGGGUUUUUAUUUUUAUACUUUAAACUUUGAUUUUAUUUUUAUGUUUUUUAAAUAUUGGUGUUUUUGAAUGUGUUGUUUAAAUAACAUAAAAAAUAAAAUAUAUAUAUUGACAUGCAUUAAACAAAGAUAUAUAUUAUUUUAUGUUGUAUAAAUAAAUUGGCAAAAUAGAGAUGGAAGAUAAAAAUAUGGUCAAAGUAAUAAGAGUCUAUGGUGAAUGCCUAGGA
rnacentral:misc_RNA from 5 species